GCGAGUCGAGCGGUAGAGAGAAGCUUGCUUCUCUUGAGAGCGGCGGACGGGUGAGUAAUGCCUAGGAAUCUGCCUGGUAGUGGGGGAUAACGUUCGGAAACGGACGCUAAUACCGCAUACGUCCUACGGGAGAAAGCAGGGGACCUUCGGGCCUUGCGCUAUCAGAUGAGCCUAGGUCGGAUUAGCUAGUUGGUGGGGUAAUGGCUCACCAAGGCGACGAUCCGUAACUGGUCUGAGAGGAUGAUCAGUCACACUGGAACUGAGACACGGUCCAGACUCCUACGGGAGGCAGCAGUGGGGAAUAUUGGACAAUGGGCGAAAGCCUGAUCCAGCCAUGCCGCGUGUGUGAAGAAGGUCUUCGGAUUGUAAAGCACUUUAAGUUGGGAGGAAGGGUUGUAGAUUAAUACUCUGCAAUUUUGACGUUACCGACAGAAUAAGCACCGGCUAACUCUGUGCCAGCAGCCGCGGUAAUACAGAGGGUGCAAGCGUUAAUCGGAAUUACUGGGCGUAAAGCGCGCGUAGGUGGUUUGUUAAGUUGGAUGUGAAAUCCCCGGGCUCAACCGGGAACUGCAUUCAAAACUGACUGACUAGAGUAUGGUAAGGGGGGUGGAAUUUCCUG
rnacentral:rRNA from 1 species